ensembl:lncRNA
UGGAAUCAUUCUGUGAACAACCUGAAGCCUUCAGCAGCAGUUAGUUAUUUAUGAAGGUAAUAAAUAGGCAUAACUGUUUAUUCAUUGCAGGUAUGCCUGUGUCUGGAGGAGAUGGAGGGCAAUUUUCAAAUUUUAUCCACAUGAUGGAUGUGGAAGGGAGGCCAUGGGAUAAGAGGACACCCGACCAGAAACAAGCUGCCUUUUUGUUGUUAAUAGCCAGGAAGUCUCUGCGGUGCAGAUGUGACAGCAACAGCAAAACCUAUUUUGAGGUCCUGUCCCAUGAAGUAGCUGUCUUUCUCAGCAGGAAGUGUCUUGCAUGUUUUCUGGUUUGA